UCCUGACUGUCGCAUGGCGCGGCAGACACUAGCCAAGACAGGAGAAAGCAAUG
ncrna:unclassified sequences Mu-gpT-DE RNA